rnacentral:rRNA from 1 species
ACAAGCAAAUAAUUAAAACUUUUAACAACGGAUCUCUUGGUUCUGGCAUCGAUGAAGAACGCAGCGAAAUGCGAUAAGUAAUGUGAAUUGCAGAAUUCAGUGAAUCAUCGAAUCUUUGAACGCACAUUGCGCUCGCCAGCAUUCUGGCGAGCAUGCCUGUUCGAGCGUCAUUUCAACCC